rnacentral:rRNA from 1 species
UACAGAGGUCCCAAGCGUUUGUUCGGAUUCAUUGGGCGUAAAGGGUGCGUAGGUGGCGCUGUAAGUCGGGUGUGAAAUUUCGGAGCUUAACUCCGAAACUGCAUUCGAUACUGCGGUGCUUGAGGACUGGAGAGGAGACUGGAAUUCAUGGUGUAGCAGUGAAAUGCGUAGAGAUCAUGAGGAAGACCAGUGGCGAAGGCGGGUCUCUGGACAGUUCCUGACACUGAGACACGAAGGCCAGGGGAGCAAACGGG